rfam:Nicotiana sylvestris Nsyl_contig33152, whole genome shotgun sequence.
GUUGAGGAGAAUGUUGUCUGGUUCGAGAUCUUUCAUUACAAGGCAACAUGAAAAGUGUAGAUGUAGAGAAGUUUUCAUAUCCUGAGAAUGAUUUCGGACCAGGCUUCAUUCCCCUCAAC